ACCAAGAGUAUAUGCACCAGCAUUAACAGGUGAUGGGAUAAUUCUCAAUCUAAAACUCUCAUCAGAUUCAUUAUCAUCAUUAUAAGUGAUCUGAGAAUCUGCAAUGAAGUCUAUACCACGAACUACA